rnacentral:rRNA from 1 species
GGUUAAGCGACUAAGCGUACACGGUGGAUGCCCUGGCAGUCAGAGGCGAUGAAGGACGUGCUAAUCUGCGAUAAGCGUCGGUGAGGUGAUAUGAACCGUUAUAACCGGCGAUUUCCGAAUGGGGAAACCCAGUGUGUUUCGACACACUAUCAUUAACUGAAUCCAUAGGUUAAUGAGGCGAACCGGGGGAACUGAAACAUCUAAGUACCCCGAGGAAAAGAAAUCAACCGAGAUUCCCCCAGUAGCGGCGAGCGAACGGGGAGGAGCCCAGAGCCUGAAUCAGUGUGUGUGUUAGUGGAAGCGUCUGGAAAGGCGCGCGAUACAGGGUGACAGCCCCGUACACAAAAAUGCACAUAUUGUGAGCUCGAUGAGUAGGGCGGGACACGUGGUAUCCUGUCUGAAUAUGGGGGGACCAUCCUCCAAGGCUAAAUACUCCUGACUGACCGAUAGUGAACCAGUACCGUGAGGGAAAGGCGAAAAGAACCCCGGCGAGGGGAGUGAAAAAGAACCUGAAACCGUGUACGUACAAGCAGUGGGAGCCUCUUAAUGGGGUGACUGCGUACCUUUUGUAUAAUGGGUCAGCGACUUAUAUUCUGUAGCAAGGUUAACCGAAUAGGGGAGCCGAAGGGAAACCGAGUCUUAACUGGGCGUUAAGUUGCAGGGUAUAGACCCGAAACCCGGUGAUCUAGCCAUGGGCAGGUUGAAGGUUGGGUAACACUAACUGGAGGACCGAACCGACUAAUGUUGAAAAAUUAGCGGAUGACUUGUGGCUGGGGGUGAAAGGCCAAUCAAACCGGGAGAUAGCUGGUUCUCCCCGAAAGCUAUUUAGGUAGCGCCUCGUGAAUUCAUCUCCGGGGGUAGAGCACUGUUUCGGCAAGGGGGUCAUCCCGACUUACCAACCCGAUGCAAACUGCGAAUACCGGAGAAUGUUAUCACGGGAGACACACGGCGGGUGCUAACGUCCGUCGUGAAGAGGGAAACAACCCAGACCGCCAGCUAAGGUCCCAAAGUCAUGGUUAAGUGGGAAACGAUGUGGGAAGGCCCAGACAGCCAGGAUGUUGGCUUAGAAGCAGCCAUCAUUUAAAGAAAGCGUAAUAGCUCACUGGUCGAGUCGGCCUGCGCGGAAGAUGUAACGGGGCUAAACCAUGCACCGAAGCUGCGGCAGCGACACUAUGUGUUGUUGGGUAGGGGAGCGUUCUGUAAGCCUGUGAAGGUGGCCUGUGAGGGUUGCUGGAGGUAUCAGAAGUGCGAAUGCUGACAUAAGUAACGAUAAAGCGGGUGAAAAGCCCGCUCGCCGGAAGACCAAGGGUUCCUGUCCAACGUUAAUCGGGGCAGGGUGAGUCGACCCCUAAGGCGAGGCCGAAAGGCGUAGUCGAUGGGAAACAGGUUAAUAUUCCUGUACUUGGUGUUACUGCGAAGGGGGGACGGAGAAGGCUAUGUUGGCCGGGCGACGGUUGUCCCGGUUUAAGCGUGUAGGCUGGUUUUCCAGGCAAAUCCGGAAAAUCAAGGCUGAGGCGUGAUGACGAGGCACUACGGUGCUGAAGCGACAAAUGCCCUGCUUCCAGGAAAAGCCUCUAAGCAUCAGGUAACAUCAAAUCGUACCCCAAACCGACACAGGUGGUCAGGUAGAGAAUACCAAGGCGCUUGAGAGAACUCGGGUGAAGGAACUAGGCAAAAUGGUGCCGUAACUUCGGGAGAAGGCACGCUGAUAUGUAGGUGAAGCGACUUGCUCGUGGAGCUGAAAUCAGUCGAAGAUACCAGCUGGCUGCAACUGUUUAUUAAAAACACAGCACUGUGCAAACACGAAAGUGGACGUAUACGGUGUGACGCCUGCCCGGUGCCGGAAGGUUAAUUGAUGGGGUUAGCGGUAACGCGAAGCUCUUGAUCGAAGCCCCGGUAAACGGCGGCCGUAACUAUAACGGUCCUAAGGUAGCGAAAUUCCUUGUCGGGUAAGUUCCGACCUGCACGAAUGGCGUAAUGAUGGCCAGGCUGUCUCCACCCGAGACUCAGUGAAAUUGAACUCGCUGUGAAGAUGCAGUGUACCCGCGGCAAGACGGAAAGACCCCGUGAACCUUUACUAUAGCUUGACACUGAACAUUGAGCCUUGAUGUGUAGGAUAGGUGGGAGGCUUUGAAGUGUGGACGCCAGUCUGCAUGGAGCCGACCUUGAAAUACCACCCUUUAAUGUUUGAUGUUCUAACGUGGGCCCCUUACCGGGGUUGCGGACAGUGUCUGGUGGGUAGUUUGACUGGGGCGGUCUCCUCCUA